AUGGGUUUCUUGAUCUGCGCCUGCCUCCUCCAGCUGCUCUUCUUGGGCUCUUCUCCGGCGGCGGCACAGUCACCGUCGCCGGCGAGGGCCCUGGACGCAAUGCUGCAGGACUACGCGUACCGGGCCUUCGUCCGGCCGCACACCGGCAUUGUCUACAACGCCACCGUGCCUGCGGACCUCGCCGGCGUCGCGGUGUCCGGGCUCCGCCUGCGCAGCGGCAGCCUGCGGAGGAAAGGCUUCUCCGACUACUUCGAGUUCAGCAUCCCCCCUGGCGUCAUCGUGCAGCCGUACGUCGAGAGGGUGGUGCUCGUGUACCACAACCUGGGCGAGCUGUCGGAGAAGUACUACCCGCUCCCCGGCUACACCUACCUCUCGCCCAUUCUCGGGCUGCUGGUCUACGACGCUGCCAACUUGUCAGCAACGGGAUUGUCCGAGCUGAGCAUCGUCGCGUCAGGGAGCCCGAUUUCUGUGAGUUUCAGCAAUGUGAGGGCGGUGCCCCCAGGCAGUCCAGCGCCGCAGUGUGUGUGGUUUGAUUUGGAUGGGGUGCCACAGUUCCGGGGCUUGGAGGCAAACAACGUGUGUGCAACCUAUCGCCGAGGGCACUUCUCCAUAGUGGUGAACUCCAGUGAGGUUGCUCCUGCUCCAGGGCCUUCAGGCGCAAUUGCCCCACCAAUACCGACUAAUGGUGGUCGUGAUAAGGGUAGUUCGGACGCAUGGAAGAUUGCUGUCGGCGUUGUUGGGGGCGUCAUUGCAUUGGGGCUGUUGGCUUUGCUUCUGGUGUGUUUUGUCAGAUAUAAAAGGGAAAAGAAGAUGGAGGUGAUGGAACGAAAUGCAGAGGUCGGGGAGACUUUGCGCAUGGCGCAGGUUGGGCGGUCGCAAGCGCCUGUAGCGUUGGGAACGCGAACAAAACCUGUGAUUGAGAGUGAGUACGUUGCCUAG
rnacentral:rRNA from 1 species